CGUCGUCGUUAUCGCCGCCGCCGCUGUCAUCAUCGUUGGCGGCGUCGUCGUCGUCAUCUUCGUGGCCGUUAUCGUCGUCGUCAUCGUCGCCGCCGCUGUCAUCAUCGUUGGCGGCGUCGUCGUCGUCAUCGUCGUGGCCGUUAUCGUCGUCGUCAUCGUCGCCGCCGCUGUCAUCAUCGUUGGCGUCGUCGUCGUCGUCGUCAUCGUCGUGGCCGUUAUCGUCGUCGUUGUCGUCGUUGCUGCUGCCGUUGUCGUCAUCGUGAUCGCCGCCGCUGUCAUCGUUGUCGUCGCCGUAAUCGUCGUCGCCGUCGCCGCUGCCAUCGUCGUCGUCGUCGUCGUUGUCGUCAUCGUCUUGGCCGUUAUCGUCGUCGUCGUCGUCGUUGUCGUCAUCGUCGCCAUUGCUGUCGUCUUGUGCCUGACAUCCAACCAGGCUAUAUUUUUGUACAUCAUUCCGCAACAGAAAUCUAGGCUUUCCCAGUUCAUUGGUUUCAGUUGCGUUCCUUACACGCAACCUCUUCACCUCAGAGCGAUAAAGGGAAUUUAGAUAACGAUUCAUUUAUUUAUUCAUUUAUUUACGUUUAUAUUUUAACUAUCUGCUCUCAUUUUUUAACUUCUUACUUUUUUUUGUUUUUGGCAACGAGGUGUCCUAUAUGUGUUCGUUCAUUAGAUCUGCUAGAAAUAAUAGCUAUCUGUCUGUCUAUCUAUCUAUCUAUCUAUCUAUCUAUCUAUCUAUCUAUCUAUCUAUCUAUCUAUCUAUCUAUCUAUCUAUCUAUCUAUCUAUCUAUCUAUCUAUCUAUCUGUACAUACGCAUAUACACACAUAUUAGCGACAGAGGCAGUAUUAAUUCCGAGGGGUACUAUAUAUUCGCACUCAAACGUGGAUGUUCUGUCGUUAGAACAAACUAUACUGCGGUAGAUACCAUGAGAGACACUCAUAUUGGCUUUUUGGUACAAAAUGCACUCUUGUUUCAUAUCGCUAGAAGAACGCAAAACAGGAUUAACUCUGUGAACUAAUAAACCGAAUAACUAAAUAGAUAAUUCUUUCUAUUUUCUACAAUAGGCUUUUCUACUAUAGUCCUGAAAUUAC
rnacentral:lncRNA from 1 species